GUAUGCCCUCCGCCCCUCCCCAGCGACCCGAUUAGUUUCGGGCCUAAGGGAUGCGUGGGGUGUCUGCCCUCUGCCUCUCCCCAGUAACCCGAGUCGUUCCGUCCCUGCGGUGCGCCCUGUGCGGCGGCACAUCUUCUCCGCGGUCGACACCCAAACACCUGAACGGGCAGGAAAAUGUGUUUGAAACCGUGCGGUCUCGCCACGGGGAGGACCUCCCGGGCCUAAGGGACGCGUGGGUCGUACGCCCUCCGCCGCUCCCCAGCGACCCGAUUAGUUUCGGGCCUAAGGGAUGCGUGGGGUGGUGUCUGCCCUCUGUCACUCCCCAGUAACCCGGGUUCGUUCCCGUCCCCGUGCGGCGUUCCC